rnacentral:rRNA from 1 species
CACGUAGGCACCAAGCGUUAUCCGGAUUUAUUGGGCGUAAAGAGCUCGUAGGCGGUUCGGUAAGUCGGGUGUGAAAACUCUGGGCUCAACCCAGAGAGGCCACCCGAUACUGCUGUGACUAGAGUGCGGUAGGGGGAGCGGGGAAUUCCUGGUGUAGCGGUGAAAUGCGCAGAUAUCAGGAGGAACACCAGCGGCGAAGGCGCCGCUCUGGGCCGUAACUGACGCUGAGGAGCGAAAGCAUGGGUAGCAAACAAG